GCCAGCAUGGCAUAGUGGUUUGAGUGUUGCACUAUGAAUCUGGAGAGCAAGGUUCGAAUCCCUGCUUGGCC